rnacentral:tRNA from 1 species
GGGGCUAUAGCUCAGUUGAUGGAGUGCUUGCCUCACAUUCAUAAGGCUCUGGGUUCAAUCCCCAGCACCUCUC